CUUCCGUUGGUGAAACAGCGGAGGGAUCAUUACCGAGUUUACAACUCCCAAACCCCUGUGAACAUACCACUUGUUGCCUCGGCGGAUCAGCCCGCUCCCGGUAAAACGGGACGGCCCGCCAGAGGACCCCUAAACUCUGUUUCUAUAUGUAACUUCUGAGUAAAACCAUAAAUAAAUCAAAACUUUCAACAACGGAUCUCUUGGUUCUGGCAUCGAUGAAGAACGCAGCAAAAUGCGAUAAGUAAUGUGAAUUGCAGAAUUCAGUGAAUCAUCGAAUCUUUGAACGCACAUUGCGCCCGCCAGUAUUCUGGCGGGCAUGCCUGUUCGAGCGUCAUUUCAACCCUCAAGCACAGCUUGGUGUUGGGACUCGCGUUAAUUCGCGUUCCUCAAAUUGAUUGGCGGUCACGUCGAGCUUCCAUAGCGUAGUAGUAAAACCCUCGUUACUGGUAAUCGUCGCGGCCACGCCGUUAAACCCCAACUUCUGAAUGUUGACCUCGGAUCAGGUAGGAAUACCCGCUGAACUUAAGCAUAUNUUU
rnacentral:rRNA from 1 species